CAUCCCUGCGCCGACGUCGCUCAUCAGCCGCUCGCGCCUUCGCCGCCCCGGGCUGCUGUGAGCCCGAAUGUUUCGCCCGGAGGAGUCGCCGAAGAUACGGAACGCAAAAAAAAACACGGAAAGGACUUAAGGGACGCGAACGACGCGACUCAUCAGCCGCUCGCGCCUGCGCCGCCCCGGGCUGCUGUGAGCCCGAAUGCUUCGCGCGGAGGAGUCGCCGAGUAAGUUAUCUCGGUUACACUUGAAGGACGCA
rnacentral:lncRNA from 1 species